AUUGAACGCUGGCGGCAGGCUUAACACAUGCAAGUCGAGCGGGGGGAGUUGCUUCGGUAACUAACCUAGCGGCGGACGGGUGAGUAAUGCGUAGGAAGCUACCCGAUAGAGGGGGAUACCAGUUGGAAACGACUGUUAAUACCGCAUAAUGUCUACGGACCAAAGUGUGGGACCUUCGGGCCACAUGCUAUCGGAUGCGCCUACGUGGGAUUAGCUAGUUGGUGGGGUAAUGGCUCACCAAGGCGACGAUCCCUAGCUGGUUUGAGAGGAUGAUCAGCCACACUGGAACUGAGACACGGGCCAGACUCCUACGGGAGGCAGCAGUGGGGAAUAUUGGACAAUGGGCGCAAGCCUGAUCCAGCCAUGCCGCGUGUGUGAAGAAGGCCUUCGGGUUGUAAAGCACUUUCAGUAGGGAGGAAGGGUGUUGUGUUAAUAGCACAGCAUUUUGACGUUACCUACAGAAGAAGCACCGGCUAACUCUGUGCCAGCAGCCGCAGUAACAC
rnacentral:rRNA from 1 species